UGAUCCUGGCUCAGAACGAACGCUGGCGGCAGGCCUAAAACAUGCAAGUCGAACGAACCUUCGGGUUAGUGGCGCACGGGUGAGUAACGCGUGGGAACGUACCCUCUGGUGCGGAAUAACAGUUGGAAACGACUGCUAAUACCGCAUAAUAUCUCCGGAUCAAAGAUUUAUCGCCAGAGGAUCGGCCCGCGUUAGAUUAGAUAGUUGGUGGGGUAAUGGCCUACCAAGUCGACGAUCUAUAGCUGGUUUGAGAGGAUGAUCAGCCACACUGGUACUGAGACACGGACCAGACUCCUACGGGAGGCAGCAGUUAGGAAUAUUGGACAAUGGGCGCAAGCCUGAUCCAGCCAUGCCGCGUGAGUGAAGACGGCCUUAGGGUUGUAAAGCUCUUUCAGAUGUGAGGAUAAUGACCGUAACAUCAGAAGAAGCCCCGGCUAAAUUCGUGCCAGCAGCCGCGGUAAUACGAAUGGGGCGAGCGUUGUUCGGAAUCACUGGGCGUAAAGCGUGCGUAGGCGGAUAUGAAAGUCAGAAGUGAAAGCCCAGGGCUUAACCCUGGAAUUGCUUUUGAAACUUCAUAUCUAGAGUUCUGGAGAGGCAAGGGGAAUUCCGAGUGUAGAGGUGAAAUUCGCAGAUAUUCGGAGGAACACCAGUGGCGUAGGCGCCUUGCUGGACAGAUACUGACGCUGAGGCACGAAAGCGUGGGGAGCAAACAGGAUUAGAUACCCUGGUAGUCCACGCCGUAAACGAUGUGUGCUAGUUGUCGGGCCCUUAGGGUUCGGUGACGCAGCUAACGCAUUAAGCACACCGCCUGGGGAGUACGGUCGCAAGAUUAAAACUCAAAGGAAUUGACGGGGACCCGCACAAGCGGUGGAGCAUGUUCAUUAAUUCGAUGCAACGCGAAGAACCUUACCUACCCUUGACAUCCUGAUCGCGGUUACUAGAGAUAGUUUCCUUCAGUUCGGCUGGAUCAGUGACAGGUGCUGCAUGGCUGUCGUCAGCUCGUGUCGUGAGAUGUUGGGUUAAGUCCCGCAACGAGCGCAACCCCUAUCGUCUGUUGCCAUCAUUUAGUUGGGCACUCUGACGAGACUGCCGGUGAUAAACCGGAGGAAGGCGGGGACGACGUCAAGUCAUCAUGGCCCUUACGACCAGGGCUACACACGUGCUACAAUGGGAAGGACAAAGAGCCGCGAAGCCGCGAGGUGUAGCUAAUCUCAUAAACCUUUUCGCAGUCCGGAUUGGAGUCUGCAGCUCGACUCCAUGAAGUCGGAAUCGCUAGUAAUCGUAGAUCAGAAUGCUACGGUGAAUACGUUCCCGGGUCUUGUACACACCGCCCGUCAUACCAUGGGAGUGGGUUGCACCAGAAGUGGCUAGUCUAACUUAGUGAGGACGGUCACCACGGUGUGAUUCAUGACUGGGGUAAAGUCGUAACAAGGUAACC
rnacentral:rRNA from 1 species